CGCCCUAAGAAAUAUUGCAAUGUAACAUUACAGUAACAUUAUGAUGCAAUGUAUUUGUAAUAAUAUGAGCACGAUAAGAUUGUAGAUUAGCUGUGCUGACACAAAUAUUUAAGCUUUAAUAUUAUUAUAUCUUUAUGGUAGUAGAGUGAUGUUUGCUUUUAGACUAAUAAUUUUAUUAUAAAAUUAUUUGUAUCUAUUAGAACGAUAUAUGAAGAUGAUGUCAGAGGUUAAUAAUAUUAAAGAUUAAAUAUGUGUCAGUACAGCUAACAAGUUGUGUUCAUCAGUGCUCACAGUUUCAUAUCAAUGAGUUAAAAGAGCACUUUGGAAACAUAAAGUUUUAAACAAAUAAAAUAAAAA